AAAUGCUCCUUGUCUUCUUGUUGUCUGGAUAUGUUGCUUUAAUCUAUUAUUUCUAGGUCCUUCCACCGUUGAAUUGGUUGCUCAGGAUCACAAUGAAUGUUACUAAUAUAAAUAUUAUCGUCUUGAUAUGUUAUUGGCCUCAAUAGAUAUAGGAUAUGAAUUUUGAAUAUCAGUAUAAAAAUAUGUACUUCAACUUGAAUAUAUAAGUAAUAUAUCAUAAUGUAUCCUUUUCAAAUGUGAUUUGGAAUUUUAUAUUGAACCUUAUACUUUGAACCAUAACAAUAUAUAUAUUUUUUUCAUUUUCCCUUUCUACAUGUAAUAUUAAAAUCUGUUUGUUCUCUAUUA